GCCUCCUUGGCUCAGUUGGCUAGAGCGCAGGUCUCAUAGUACAUCUAUGACAAUGCUAGUCAUUGGUAAUCCUGAGGUCGCAAGUUCGAGCCUUGCAGGGGGCA